rnacentral:rRNA from 1 species
GUAGGUGGCAAGCGUUGUCCGGAAUUAUUGGGCGUAAAGCGCGCGCAGGUGGUUCUUUAAGUCUGAUGUGAAAGCCCCCGGCUCAACCGGGGAGGGUCAUUGGAAACUGGGGAACUUGAGUGCAGGAGAGGAAAGUGGAAUUCCACGUGUAGCGGUGAAAUGCGUAGAUAUGUGGAGGAACACCUGUGGCGAAGGCGACUUUCUGGCCUGUAACUGACACUGAGGCGCGAAAGCGUGGGGAGCAAACAGGGAUUAGAUACCCUGGUAGUCCACGCCGUAAACGAUGAGUGCUAAGUGUUGGGGGGGUUUCCCGCCCCUCAGUGCUGCAGCUAACGCAUUAAGCACUCCGCCUGGGGAGUACGGUCGCAAGACUG